ACCCGGCUGGCUCAGUGGUUAAGCAUCUGACUUCGGCUCAGAUCAUGGACUCAUGGCUCACAUGUUUGAGCCCUGUGUCGGGCU
rnacentral:tRNA from 1 species